GACCUGUCAGAAACAAGACGAAAUUUGUGCAUUCGUUACGGUGUGUUAUAUUUGAAUAGGAAUACUUUGAAUUGAGUUCAGAAGGAUGCUGGCUACUUCGUCGACUCGCUCCAGUGCAAUUCGGCCGGGGAGCUGUGGAUCGUCCUUCUGCUGCCCUCGAGUGUUGGAUGACGCCAGGCUCAAUUAACUGACCAGGGCACGCUGUCCAUACUAUUUUUUCC